UUUCACACUGCUCGUCUGAUUUAGCUGUGACGGAGCUUUUUGUGCUUUCAAAGCCCGGUGUUGAUCUUUUCUCCUGGCCAUCUUUCGUUAGCGCUUUGUGAGGAACAGAUUUUUCUCACAAGGAUGGAGGAAAGUAAAAUACUCCGUUCUGCUUUCGGUUGUCAGGUGUAAUACAGAGGUCAGCGCAAGGUACUCACAAAACAGUAGAACCAACAUGUGUGCAGAUGUGUUUGGAACAGCUCCGCCUUCUUCUUAACCCUGCUCCUGUGUUUUUGGUUCAUUGAGUACACUCACAAUGGCGGAAUUUUGUAGUCAGUGUCUUCAAGAGCUCCUGAAGGUGAAUGUGAACGACAUUCAUCAGAUAUUGGCCGACCCUCAAAUCUACAGACGUAGAAUUCUUCCUGCACUUCGGAGAGACCUGAGCGUGCCACAUCACAGCAGGAGAGAUUUAUCAGCCAUCAGAUAGCGGUCAGGCCUCCAGCAGAACGUACUGAUUACGCAGCAAACAGCUCAGCAGUUUGCUGUCUGAG
ensembl:lncRNA